rnacentral:rRNA from 1 species
GACGAACGCUGGCGGCGUGCUUAACACAUGCAAGUCGAACGGAAAGGCCCUGCUUUUGUGGGGUGCUCGAGUGGCGAACGGGUGAGUAACACGUGAGUAACCUGCCCUUGACUUUGGGAUAACUUCAGGAAACUGGGGCUAAUACCGGAUAGGAGCUCCUGCUGCAUGGUGGGGGUUGGAAAGUUUCGGCGGUUGGGGAUGGACUCGCGGCUUAUCAGCUUGUUGGUGGGGUAGUGGCUUACCAAGGCUUUGACGGGUAGCCGGCCUGAGAGGGUGACCGGACCCAUUGGGACUGAGAUAAGGCACAGACUCCUCCGGGAGGCAGCAGUGGGGAAUAUUGCACAAUGGGCGGAAGCCUGAUGCAGCAACGCCGCGUGCGGGAUGACGGCCUUCGGGUUGUAAACCGCUUUCGCCUGUGACGAAGAGUGAGUGACGGUAAUGGGUAAAGAAGCACCGGCUAACUACGUG